rnacentral:rRNA from 1 species
UUCCCAGUCACGACUCCGUAGGUGAACCUGCGGAGGGAUCAUUA